GGAAGCUGGCAAGAAACUAGGGCAGAGGGCCGGACUGGCAGGUCUUUUUUUGCUAGCAGAUUUUGAGACUGCCAAGGGUAUGACUGUGUCCUUCCUCCUACUUUUGCAAUCUCUGGCAAAAGCAAUUCCCUCCACCCAGCACUGGCUCUGGCCCUCUCUCUGUUGCUUCCUGUUACUAGGGCAGGUCCCGCACACAGGAUUCACAGCUGCCUCUCCCAGAUGAAUAGCCAGGGGGACCACACACAUUUCCCUGGUAAUGAGAGACUGUUUUCAGGAGCGGGAGAGCCGCUCCCCAUCCCUUCCUCCCAGGCUGGAGCAGGAGCAGCCAUGUGUGCGGCACAGACGAGCUGCAGCUUCGUGUCUCGCUGUGGGGAAGCUCGGAAGAGGCAGAACUGACCUCUGUCCUUCACCUGAAACAAGCACUGGGGUCUUUUCCACAGACGUGCUAGCUGCUGGUGGCGAGGCUGGUGCUGUGCGAAGCGCUGCUCCCUUCUCCCGGGAACUGUGCAGCCCACAGGGCAACUCUGCACAGCACCCUUCUUGGCUGGGAAAUGGAGGAGCAGCUGGAAUCGGUCCCGAGACAAAUGAGAGAGAAGCCACAGUACUUAGAGGACAGCUUACCUUCUUGGAGGUGCUGAACACACGCCCCUUCCUCUUCAGGAAUGACAUUAGAUUGGACAGAUUCAUAGACUGAAAAACAACAAAGGAUUUCACCUGAGUAUGAAAAAUUAACAACAAAAAUAUCAACUUCCUUAUCUUCAAACUGGAGAAAACACAGUGUGUAUCUUCAGUGCUUAAGACUGAGGUGGGAGCAAGGGGAGAGCAAGGGGUACAGCUGCCCGCCCCCCACAGUGAGGGUUAUACAUUACCACACACAUGUAGUGACAACACCGAAGAGUAAAGAUUCACAAUGAACUGGAUGGUUUUGAGACUCUAGAGAUUUCAUUAUGGAGAGACUACUUUAAAAAACCAUUAAGGAGAGCACUGUUUUCAUCUAAGAUGUCUAAGGUGAAACCUGCAGGGCCCCUGAUCCUGAAAAUCUUUGAGGUGAACACACCUGGGGAGAGCAGUGUGCCAUGCAGGGACUGCGUGUCAUGGCUCCCGGGCUGACAGAAAAGCAAAGAGCCCGGGUCCGGCAGGGCCAGCAGAUAGGGGCGACCUCAGGCCACCGACUCCGUCCUGCAGGUGCAGAGCCACAGACAGACUUAGCACCCUGCACUGCGAUCAGCCGGCCACUGGAGUGAGAGGGUCCCCUCACUGCCUUUUUGCCCUCAACGACAACCUGGAAAUGGGUUAGAAUGGAUGCCGAUGCUGAGGAGAGGAGGAGGACAGCGUGAGAGGACAGUUCAGGGAGAGGGAGCAGAAGAGGCUGAAGGAGAGGGUCCGGUGUGGAGAAGAGUUUUCAAUGGGAAAUUGAGAGAGACAGAGUCACAAGAAUGCUCGAAAAUUCAAAGUGGAAAAGAUUUAGAUCUUGUAGGCUCAUUACCUAGCCAAACACUUUCAUUUCUUUAUUUUUGCCUUGUUGUUUCAUUAUCGAUAAUAAAUAUACUAGAGGAUGUGCUGUAAAUAUA